rnacentral:rRNA from 1 species
UACAGAGGGGGCAAGCGUUAUUCGGAAUUAUUGGGCGUAAAGGGCGCGUAGGCGGCCUGUCAAGUCUCUCGUGAAAUCCCUCGGCUUAACUGAGGACGUGCGGGAGAUACUGUCAGGCUGGAGUCCGGAAGAGGGUGGUGGAAUUCCCAGUGUAGCGGUGGAAUGCGCAGAUAUCAGGAGGAACACCAACGGCGAAGGCAGCCCGCUGGGACGGUACUGACGCUAAGGCGCGAAAGCGUGGGGAGCGAACAGG